rnacentral:rRNA from 1 species
AUGAUGAAGGAACUAAUAGCAAGUAGGUUGAGGCAAAAUAAUAGUGGAGGAAGUGCAAGUAGUAAAUCUGAGCUUGAAAAAUACCUUGCCAAAGACUCUGAAGACCCUGACAAAAAAAUUGGCAUCCUAGGAUGGUGGAAAGAGAAUUCAUCUAGGUUUUCAAUCUUGGAAAAUAUGGCUCGUGAUAUUCUUGCUAUCCCCAUUACAACUGUGGCUUCCGAGUCUGCCUUUAGCACAAGUGGACGCAUACUCGAUGACUUUAGGACAUCUCUAACUCCGUUUAUGGUGCAAGCUUUAGUUUGUAUGCAAGACUGGCUGAGAAGGUCAACGGAUCCGGUCGACAUCAAGGAGAACUUGGAAGAAUUAAAAGUGCUAGAAAAAGAGUUGAUUGAAGAAUUUGGUGACAAGGUGAAGGGAAAGCAGAAGUUCAAUGGUGUUGUUGUUGCUUCUUCCAUGGCCAAGUCAAACAAGUGUGCAAGUCGACCAACAAACUGA